CUUAUUUCUUACCCCCGUCUCCACUUAUCCAACAUUACUAAUAUAGAACCCUUGAUCAGAAAACCCCGAAAACAUGAAAACAUCACAGAUUCACAGAACUCUCAAUCCAAAUAGCACCAUCAUCACCAUUUCUUUUUCUCCCCGAUAACGUCAUGUAUGCUUUCCCAACUUUUUGCCAACACCAUUUUCUUAUCUGAAGCCUCCAUCUUUCACAACUCCGACAACACGAGCUGACCACAAAAACAACCUUACCUGUUUCUCUCCCAUACCCGGAUCCUCAAUUUAAUGUCGGGGUCAUCAAUUAAAAUGCUUAACCCUCACCCGGAGACUUCAUUAUUCACGGCCCUAUCACUUAUAACGGGAAUCAUCGACAAUUCCCACAUGUAGUGAACUCCAACAGUAACCAGCGUUGUAACGAAGAAAAGGAAAAAAUUGGUGUGAGCCAUUGCCAGCAAAAUCUCUCUACAAAUUCCUUCCACAUGAAAAAUCAUCAAGAUUAAAAAGCCGGAACAGUAAAAAAUUGUUGCUUGCACGCCAGGUGUUUGUAAAAUUCUACAGAGAGGGGUUCUCAAUAUGCAAUCACCAGAGCUACCCCGGAUCACUAAGGAAUGUUGACGUGAAUGAAGAUGCCAUGAUCCUGCUGCAACAAAGCAUCCCCAGGUGACAAAAUAUCGAGAAUAUCAUAAGACCUCUUCAACUACAUAGCAUCAACGUUACCCAUUAUGAGUUCCGCCACUCAUACAUCUAACAAAUGAUAACUACCAACACCAAAAUCCUCACCCGCCAUCAAAACCAUCAAUUUUUUGUCACCCGCAGACACCACUACCUUAUACCAUCAACUGUCUAUACCAUCAACGCUCAGCCGAAAGCACUACUACUUUCCGCUGUCAACUGUUGUAGUCAAUAACAUCAUCAUCAACAUUAUACCCGGAAGGCCUAAAUGUCACCAGCAAUGAGGAGAAGUAAUGAAUGCCAUCCAACACCUCCACUCCGAGAUGCAACAUCGGGUCUCCUACCUCCCGCAAUGACAGUGUUCAUCCGCGUUCAUCAUUCAUGGCAUCGACUAAACCCAGAGAUGCAUCAAAAAAUCAGCUAAGUUUAUGAUACUAAUAUAUUAAUUCUUCCCUGGUUGUACGUGAAACUCAACUUGCCACUUAUAAAACAACAAAACUUGAAUGAGUAAAGCAAUGGAUUCCUCGAGUUUUGUUCUA